GGAUGCUAGAGCAACCUGACUGUGACCUCUGUCAUUUCAUUGAUUGCCUAGGUAAAUGUAGCUGUCCCUUUCCUCCUUCACAGCUCCAUGUACAUUCCUCUUGAAACUGCCUGCUUGCUCAGUGGAAAAGAAUGACCUUCUUUCACAGAGAACUAUAUAUGAUAUGUAUAUGAUGAGUAGCUGUGAUCCCUUGCUAGAACCAACAAGCAAGCUCUCAGGGGCUAAAGUGACUCUUCAAAUGUAGGCAUUUAAAAUUCUAGCUGUUUGACAGUGGAGAGAUUGU
ensembl:misc_RNA 7SK 7SK RNA